rnacentral:tRNA from 1 species
GCCUGAUUGAUCCUCGAUGGUUCGGGGUGUAGGCUUCAAACCUGCAGUCGACUAACGUCGAAGUGGUUCGAUUCCACCUAUCGGGC